UGUUUCAUAUAUUUGAUAAACGAUGAUGGUUGAAUAAAGAUGAUUGAUUUUAAAUGGGCAUUCAAUUAAAGAUGUAAGAAAUAAACAAAAGCAACUCUUACAGAAGUGAAGGAUGAUCUUUUGAAUGCUAAUUACUAGUACCUCGGAGCUUUAUUUUCAGGGAAAAUCGAUAGUAAAUUCUUCAAUUUUUGCGCGAUUCGGCCAAUCAAUAACUAACUUAAUGUCAGUAUGUGUUAAGCUGGGGAAGGGGGAAACGGUGCCGGGAGAGGCUGGGAUCGGCGGUUUGUAAGCUGAGAAAUUUGUUCGAGACGAAUGCAAUAUGCAGAGGCCUAGAGGAAGUGGAAGUCGUGUUCAGUUGAAUCGGAUACGCGUUUCUAUUGAGUUCAUUAAAACCCGCAAAGCACAAGUGAGGAGUCUAAUAAUAGGAUUGUACAGAAUUGGAGGAUACGAAACCGAAGGUGUUGGUAAUGUAAGGAGUUGAGGUUAAAAAGCAAGAAUAAAGCCAAUUAGUCAAAAUUAAGAAUAGAGGAGGAGACAGAUUGAAGUGACGGUAAAUGAUUGGGAAUUCUUUGUUUUAAUUAUUUAGGAUGUACAAUCACGGAACGACACAUGUUACCCCUAUUUUUUGAGCAUAUUUUCUACCUUGGA
rnacentral:lncRNA from 1 species